rnacentral:rRNA from 1 species
AAAUUGAAGAGUUUGAUCAUGGCUCAGAUUGAACGCUGGCGGCAGGCCUAACACAUGCAAGUCGAACGGUAACAGGAAGCAGCUUGCUGCUUCGCUGACGAGUGGCGGACGGGUGAGUAAUGUCUGGGAAACUGCCUGAUGGAGGGGGAUAACUACUGGAAACGGUGGCUAAUACCGCAUAACGUCGCAAGACCAAAGAGGGGGACCUUCGGGCCUCUUGCCAUCAGAUGUGCCCAGAUGGGAUUAGCUAGUUGGUGAGGUAACGGCUCACCAAGGCGACGAUCCCUAGCUGGUCUGAGAGGAUGACCAGCCACACUGGAACUGAGACACGGUCCAGACUCCUACGGGAGGCAGCAGUGGGGAAUAUUGCACAAUGGGCGCAAGCCUGAUGCAGCCAUGCCGCGUGUAUGAAGAAGGCCUUCGGGUUGUAAAGUACUUUCAGCGGGGAGGAAGGUGUUGUGGUUAAUAACCGCAGCAAUUGACGUUACCCGCAGAAGAAGCACCGGCUAACUCCGUGCCAGCAGCCGCGGUAAUACGGAGGGUGCAAGCGUUAAUCGGAAUUACUGGGCGUAAAGCGCACGCAGGCGGUCUGUCAAGUCGGAUGUGAAAUCCCGGGCUCAACCUGGGAACUGCAUUCGAAACUGGCAGGCUUGAGUCUUGUAGAGGGGGUAGAAUUCCAGGUGUAGCGGUGAAAUGCGUAGAGAUCUGGAGGAAUACCGGUGGCGAAGGCGGCCCCUGGACAAAGACUGACGCUCAGGUGCGAAAGCGUGGGGAGCAAACAGGAUUAGAUACCCUGGUAGUCCACGCCGUAAACGAUGUCUACUUGGAGGCUGUGCCCUUGAGGCGUGGCUUCCGGAGCUAACGCGUUAAGUAGACCGCCUGGGGAGUACGGCCGCAAGGUUAAAACUCAAAUGAAUUGACGGGGGCCCGCACAAGCGGUGGAGCAUGUGGUUUAAUUCGAUGCAACGCGAAGAACCUUACCUGGUCUUGACAUCCACGGAAGUUUUCAGAGAUGAGAAUGUGCCUUCGGGAACCGUGAGACAGGUGCUGCAUGGCUGUCGUCAGCUCGUGUUGUGAAAUGUUGGGUUAAGUCCCGCAACGAGCGCAACCCUUAUCCUUUGUUGCCAGCGAUUAGGUCGGGAACUCAAAGGAGACUGCCAGUGAUAAACUGGAGGAAGGUGGGGAUGACGUCAAGUCAUCAUGGCCCUUACGACCAGGGCUACACACGUGCUACAAUGGCGCAUACAAAGAGAAGCGACCUCGCGAGAGCAAGCGGACCUCAUAAAGUGCGUCGUAGUCCGGAUUGGAGUCUGCAACUCGACUCCAUGAAGUCGGAAUCGCUAGUAAUCGUGGAUCAGAAUGCCACGGUGAAUACGUUCCCGGGCCUUGUACACACCGCCCGUCACACCAUGGGAGUGGGUUGCAAAAGAAGUAGGUAGCUUAACCUUCGGGAGGGCGCUUACCACUUUGUGAUUCAUGACUGGGGUGAAGUCGUAACAAGGUAACCGUAGGGGAACCUGCGGUUGGAUCACCUCCUUACCUUAAAGAAGC